rnacentral:rRNA from 1 species
GUGGGGAAUCUUGCGCAAUGGGCGAAAGCCUGACGCAGCCAUGCCGCGUGAAUGAUGAAGGUCUUAGGAUUGUAAAAUUCUUUCACCGGGGACGAUAAUGACGGUACCCGGAGAAGAAGCUCCGGCUAACUUCGUGCCAGCAGCCGCGGUAAUACGAAGGGGGCUAGCGUUGCUCGGAAUUACUGGGCGUAAAGGGCGCGUAGGCGGACAGCUUAGUCAGAGGUUAAAGCCCAGGGCUCAACCUUGGAAUUGCCUUUGAUACUGGAUGUCUUGAGUUUGGGAGAGGUGAGAGGAACUCCGAGUGUAGAGGUGAAAUUCGUAGAUAUUCGGAAGAACACCAGUGGCGAAGGCGACUCACUGGCCCAAUACUGACGCUCAUGCACGAAAGCGUGGGGAGCAAACAGGAUUAGAUACCCUGGUAGUCC